UUUGAAUGGGUUAUAUUUACCAAUUGGAAGUGAAUACAAAAGUGGUCAAAGUUGACUUAAAGAUUCAAUUCAAAAUAAGUGUUAUGAAAAGAAAGUUUGAAAAUCAAAAGCAUAAGACUUAGGUUUCUAAUGUUGUAAACAAAGGUUAAAUGUUUGCACAAAAGGUUUUGGCUUGGGUUAGAGUGGAGAGAAGAAGAAGAAUGGCUUGAUCCUAAGGAAAAUAAAAAGGUGAGGGAUAAGAA
rnacentral:lncRNA from 1 species